rnacentral:other from 1 species
CGUCCCCUGCGGUGUAUGGCAGCGCGCUUCCAGCAAUUGCCUUGUUCCUAAUGUACGACCUUGGGCCGGCGGAUACCGAACCGUUGCGCAAGCCCGUCAAGAGCGGGAAGCCUUCAAGUCCGGCGAGCCUGCCCACUUGAUCCCGAUGGAUCAGGGUCGCUCGGCGCGCACCGGCAUCGCGGAGGACGC